GACGUAGGGCGCGAGCGUUGUCCGGAUUUAUUGGGCGUAAAGAGCUCGUAGGCGGCUCAUCGCGUCUGCCGUGAAAACCUGUGGCUCAACUACAGGCUUGCGGUUGAUACGGGUGGGCUGGAGUUCGGUAGGGGAGACUGGAAUUCCUGGUGUAGCGGUGAAAUGCGCAGAUAUCAGGAGGAACACCGGUGGCGAAGGCGGCAUCCUGGACCAACACUGACGCUGAGGAGCGAAAGCCAGGGGAGCAAACGGG
rnacentral:rRNA from 1 species